rnacentral:rRNA from 1 species
CCCGGCACAAGCGGUGGAGCAUGUGGUUUAAUUCGAUGCAACGCGAAGAACCUUACCUGGUCUUGACAUCCACGGAAGUUUUCAGAGAUGAGAAUGUGCCUUCGGGAACCGUGAGACAGGUGCUGCAUGGCUGUCGUCAGCUCGUGUUGUGAAAUGUUGGGUUAAGUCCCGCAACGAGCGCAACCCUUAUCCUUUGUUGCCAGCGGUCCGGCCGGGAACUCAAAGGAGACUGCCAGUGAUAAACUGGAGGAAGGUGGGGAUGACGUCAAGUCAUCAUGGCCCUUACGACCAGGGCUACACACGUGCUACAAUGGUUGGUACAACGAGUUGCGAGUCGGUGACGGCGAGCUAAUCUCUUAAAGCCAAUCUCAGUUCGGAUUGUAGGCUGCAACUCGCCUACAUGAAGUCGGAAUCGCUAGUAAUCGCGGAUCAGCACGCCGCGGUGAAUACGUUCCCGGGCCUU